rnacentral:rRNA from 1 species
CGUAGGUGGCAAGCGUUGUCCGGAUUUACGUGGGCGUAAAGAGCGCGCAGGCGGUCGUUCAAGUCGAGUGUGAAAGCCCCCGGCUCAACUGGGAGGGUCACUCGAUACUGAUCGACUCGAAGGCAGGAGAGGGAAGUGGAAUUCCCGGUGUAGUGGUGAAAUGCGUAGAUAUCGGGAGGAACACCAGUGGCGAAGGCGACUUCCUGGCCUGUUCUUGACGCUGAGGCGCGAAAGCUAGGGGAGCAAACGGGAUUAGAUACCCCGGUAGUCCUAGCCGUAAACGAUGGACACUAGGUGUUGGUGGUAUCAACCCCGCCAGUGCCGAAGCUAACGCAUUAAGUGUCCCGCCUGGGGAGUACGGCCGCAAGGCU